rnacentral:rRNA from 1 species
ACUUAUAUUCUGUAGCAAGGUUAACCGCAUAGGGGAGCCGGAGGGAAACCGAGUCUUAAUUGGGCGUUAAGUUGCAGGGUAUAGACCCGAAACCCGGUGAUCUAGCCAUGGGCAGGUUGAAGGUUGGGUAACACUAACUGGAGGACCGAACCGACUAAUGUUGAAAAAUUAGCGGAUGACCUGUGGCUGGGGGUGAAAGGCCAAUCAAACCGGGAGAUAGCUGGUUCUCCCCGAAAGCUAUUUAGGUAGCGCCUCGUGAAUUCAUCUCCGGGGGUAGAGCACUGUUUCGGCUAGGGGGCCAUCCCGGCUUACCAACCCGAUGCAAACUGCGAAUACCGGAGAAUGUUAUCACGGGAGACACACGGCGGGUGCUAACGUCCGUCGUGAAGAGGGAAACAACCCAGACCGCCAGCUAAGGUCCCAAAGUCAUGGUUAAGUGGGAAACGAUGUGGGAAGGCCCAGACAGCCAGGAUGUUGGCUUAGAAGCAGCCAUCAUUUAAAGAAAGCGUAAUAGCUCACUGGUCGAGUCGGCCUGCGCGGAAGAUGUAACGGGGCUAAACCAUGCACCGAAGCUGCGGCAGCGACGCUGAUGCGUUGUUGGGUAGGGGAGCGUUCUGUAAGCCUGUGAAGGUGGCCUGUGAGGGUUGCUGGAGGUAUCAGAAGUGCGAAUGCUGACAUAAGUAACGAUAAAGCGGGUGAAAAGCCCGCUCGCCGGAAGACCAAGGGUUCCUGUCCAACGUUAAUCGGGGCAGGGUGAGUCGACCCCUAAGGCGAGGCCGAAAGGCGUAGUCGAUGGGAAACGGGUUAAUAUUCCCGUACUUGGUGUUACUGCGAAGGGGGGACGGAGAAGGCUAUGUUGGCCGGGCGACGGUUGUCCCGGUUUAAGCGUGUAGGUGUGUGUUCCAGGUAAAUCCGGUUCACUUUAACACUGAGGCGUGAUGACGAGGCACUACGGUGCUGAAGCAACAAAUGCCCUGCUUCCAGGAAAAGCCUCUAAGCAUCAGGUAACAUCAAAUCGUACCCCAAACCGACACAGGUGGUCAGGUAGAGAAUACCAAGGCGCUUGAGAGAACUCGGGUGAAGGAACUAGGCAAAAUGGUGCCGUAACUUCGGGAGAAGGCACGCUGACAC